GUAGGGGGCAAGCGUUGUCCGGAAUGACUGGGCGUAAAGGGAGUGUAGGCGGCUUAUCAAGUUAGAUGUGAAAUCCCGCGGCUUAACCGCGGAACUGCAUCUAAAACUGGUGAGCUGGAGUGCAGGAGAGGUGAGUGGAAUUCCUAGUGUAGCGGUGGAAUGCGUAGAUAUUAGGAGGAACACCAGAGGCGAAGGCGACUCACUGGACUGUAACUGACGCUGAGGCUCGAAAGCGUGGGGAGCAAA
rnacentral:rRNA from 1 species